CGGACUACGGGGGUUUCUAAUCCGGUUUGCUCCCCCAGCUUUCAUCCCUCACCGUCGAGCGCGUUCUGGCAAGCCGCCUUCGCCACUGGUGGUCUUCAAUGGAUCAACGGAUUUUACCCCUACCCAUCGAGUACCGCUUGCCUCUCCCGCCUCCUAGCUCUAUAGUAUCUUCCGCAGCCCAUCUGUUAAGCAGGUGGAUUUAACGGAAGACUUGUAGAACCGGCUACGGAUGCUUUAGGCCCAAUAAACGUCCCGACCACUCGGGGUGCUGGUAUUACCGCGGCUGCUGACAC
rnacentral:misc_RNA from 1 species